rnacentral:sRNA from 1 species
ACAUGCCAACAUGUGACGCGUGGAAUCUACGCCAGCCACAGCAGAGAGGUGGGGGUUGUGACCGGAGUUAGAUGCCAGCGCAGAAGGGACGUGAGCCCAGCCGAGGUACCGCUGAAGAGGAAUCAAUUUUGGAGGAAUUUUGUUGUCAGAGAAUAAAAGGAGGUUGUCCAUAAUUGACUUUAAGCAGCAAUCAGUAAAACAUUGAGCUCUUCAGCUCCGCCUUUCUUGCUCUGAAAAUUGGAAAACCAAGAAGGUUUUGAUGUUUUGUGUGACGCCACCUGAAUUAGAAACCAAGAUGAACAUAACCAAAGGUGGUCUGGUGUUGUUUUCAGCAAACUCGAAUUCAUCAUGUAUGGAGCUAUCAAAGAAAAUUGCAGAAAACGAGAGUACAAAUUCAAGAGUCUGUGAGGGGAAAAGAUGUUUUCAUCAUCCAAACCGUUUCGAAGGACGUGAACACCACCAUCAUGGAGCUCCUGAUCAUGGUGUAUGCAUGUAAGACCUCUUGUGCCAAGAGCAUCAUCGGCGUGAUACCCUAC